UUCACCUGGUCAGUCUAUGUCAUGGAAAGAGGAGGUGUUCCUAAUGUUUUGUACACUCACUGUACGUAAUGGUUCAUAUUGUUGUUGCUGUGAAUUGGGUCAAGAUGUUCAGAAGAGGGUGUAGUGGGUUUAAAGUGGUACCUCUGAAAAUUCAAAGCUGUUACCCAACUCGUCAACAGCUCCUUGAUGGGAGCAGCUGAUCAGGGUAAAUAGACCGCCCAUCUCCAUCUCUAUUCAUUGUUGGACUCAAAGAGCAGAAGGACAGGAAUAGAGCACUCAGCCCAACAGGGCACACACACACAUAAGGCCAACCUCACACAUUAUGGCAUCAGUAACAUUAUCAGAGAUAUUGAGGCUACAUUCUACCACAUGCUACAGUACCACUUUAUAGGGGUUCUAUGUUUUAUCAAGACACUUUGUAUCAGAUAAGCAUUGGUCUAGUAUACCAGCUUUAUUCUAUACCGGAGCCAAUUACAGCCUGGUAAUGAACAGGGGUAGAUUUAGACUUUUCCUGUUUUCACAACUCUCAAUCUGUUCCCCCGUUCCUACUUCUGCUCUUUUGGAACUCCCCACUCGACUUCUAUUUCUAUUUUUCUCAAUCUCUUCAUCUACCUCCAUCUCUUUCUGUCUCUAUCCAUCAACACAAGCAUCCAAUGACAGUGCUCUGGGAUAGGAAAUGGAGGACGGUGCUAUAUUUAGAAUCAGGGAAGGAGGGCAGAUUGAGGGAGCAAAUGAGAGAGAGAGAGAGGGAGGAGAUACAUCUACAUUCUACUGCUGCCUCAGGACAGACACAGUCGGAAACAGAACUACAGAGAGCACUCAGAGACGAGCGUCGCUAAUUCUCUUUUUUUUUGAAGACACAGAUCUUAUCUUCACAGAGAUUCACACAUUCUACUAAAGAGUUGACUAAAGAGUUGACGCGAGAAACCUGGAUAUACACUACAGUAGCAAAGAACAGAGAAAGAGGAAGAGACUCGGAUAUACACUCUACGACUCUUAUUACAGCAGCCAUGCGUCCUAGAUCCAAACUCCUGUCCCAGAAGAGGAGACUACAACUUCCCACCAUCAGAGAGGGCUACGAGGACCUAGUCAGAGACAUGAACCAGUUGAAUCAGAUUAACCAGUCCAACACCCUCCACUCUUCCCAGCCUACCACUCACCCAGGGCCCUGCCCACACACUCUCUCCUCAGAGGACUACCUGCUGUCCAUAUGCCACCUGGCUCACCCCACCUCCCUUCCCAGCAAUGACAUUAUCUACCCUCGCCAGCAGGACUCGCUGCACCACAGGCCGAGGCUGCUGCGGCUCGCUGUGCAAGAUGAAAACUCUCCAAAGACCACUGCACUUUGUCACAGGGGAAAGGCUCAUGGUAAGGACAGGGUGGAGCCUGGGAUGUACUCUGACCACAUUACUGUGUGCGGAGGACAGGAGAAAGAUUCCAACUGUAGCAAGCCUGCGUUUGGUCGCCAUGGUGCGUCAGAUCCUUUAGAAUUCCUGUACAGCAGCCCCACCCACUCCACCUGUCAAUCAGGGAAUGGGAGGCAGUGAUUGGGUUUGAGGAGACACUGGGUGGUGUCUGAGGGCCAGUCCUGCCCACGGGCACACAGUUAACCCCGCUCUUGCCCCUCUGCCAUCCAGCAGCAACGUAAGAGCAGCUGUCCCAAAUUCCGUGAUACAGCCAAUGUGCCCCCUCUCUCUCUUACCUCACCACACAGCCCUCACAGACAUGCACACCUACACAGGACUCUGCAGAACAGCUACAGGCUAGGAUAAGUAGCCCGUUUAUUAACAAAGAAAACGAGGGGGGUUGAAGGGAGAGGGAAAGAGAGGAAGGAGGAGAGGAAAAGGGAGAGCUCCACGGCCAAACGUUCCCUGAUCUCUCAGUGGAUGUCAGAUUGUCCCUGUGCCUGGAUGGAGGCCCGUGUACGAGCGUGCCUUCUGCCCACCAUCGCAGAUAUGUAAAGGCACCAGAACCACUGAGCCACAUCAACAGUCCAUAGACCUAUAUGACGGGAUAUGUACAAUGACAAGACACCACAGUUUCACUAUGACAGUAGAUACCUGCUGAAAUGUUUUUUUGUUUGUUAAGAAAAAAGAAUGUUUUCAUUGAAUAUCUGAAACAUGCAAUGUACUUGCAGUGAAGCCGCUCAACAACUACAUCAUACCAGUCAUCCAACAGUCCCAUUCAGAGGGACACACAGAAGCAUCCAGGGUCAAUGCCCUGCUCAAGGGCAUGUUGACCAAUCUCCCACCAGGCUAAAAAACAUGAACCUGAACCCUCCAAGAUCCCAAGAUCCCCCCACAGAUCCCCCCCAAGAAUAUAUAUAUAUUUUUUAAUACAAUUAAUUCCAUUCCCCACCCCCAAGAACCCCCCAAUGCACCAACAACCAAGAGAAUGAACUAAAGAGAAAAAAGUAAAAGACCUGCUGAAUUGACACGACAGCAAAUAUAAAUGCUGAUCUAUGACAAAUGUCACUGAACUAUACAAUGAGUGUACAAAACAUUAGGAACACCUUCCUAAUAUUGAGUUGCACCCCCUUUUGCCCUCAGAACAGCCUCAAUUCAUUGGGGCAUGGACUCUACAUGGUGCCAAAAAAUAAAUCGAUUUUUAAAAAAAAACAUGUUAAUACAGUGUGUCUGUCAUGAUGUUUAACCUGUGACCAGAGGCAUGAUAACUUGUUUUUGUGCACAUUAAAUGUCAGAAACCCAAUAUUC